GAUGAACGCUGGCGGCGUGCCUAAUACAUGCAAGUCGAGCGAACAGACGAGGAGCUUGCUCCUCUGACGUUAGCGGCGGACGGGUGAGUAACACGUGGAUAACCUACCUAUAAGACUGGGAUAACUUCGGGAAACCGGAGCUAAUACCGGAUAAUAUAUUGAACCGCAUGGUUCAAUAGUGAAAGACGGUUUUGCUGUCACUUAUAGAUGGAUCCGCGCCGCAUUAGCUAGUUGGUAAGGUAACGGCUUACCAAGGCAACGAUGCGUAGCCGACCUGAGAGGGUGAUCGGCCACACUGGAACUGAGACACGGUCCAGACUCCUCCGGGAGGCAGCAGUAGGGAAUCUUCCGCAAUGGGCGAAAGCCUGCCGGAGCAACGCCGCGUGAGUGAUGAAGGUCUUCGGAUCGUAAAACUCUGUUAUUAGGGAAGAACAAAUGUGUAAGUAACUAUGCACGUCUUGACGGUACCUAAUCAGAAAGCCACGGCUAACUACGUG
rnacentral:rRNA from 1 species